rnacentral:snRNA from 9 species
ACACUCACCUGGCGUCGGGAUACCGUGAUCAUGCCGGAUGUUCCUCCGGGGUGCGGCUGCUCCAUUGCACUGCGGAGUGGUUGACCCUUGCGAUUAUAUUACAUUUUAUAAGUUUCACUUCUACGGUGUGUGACUUGCACACACACACA